rnacentral:miRNA from 1 species
CUUCUGCCUGCAUUCUACUCCCAG